rnacentral:lncRNA from 1 species
UAGAUAACUUUUAUUUUGCAUUUUAAUUUUUUUAAUAAAUUGUAAGAGACUUGUUAAAUACUUAAAUGAACAGACAUUAUAUGCUUGUUUCCCAUGUUUUCAUUAUGUUCCAAUACUUUAUAAUAUAUAUAUAUAUAUAUAUAUAUAUGUCAUUCUAUUUUGUAGUUUAUGAUGAAUUAGAUAUAUUUGAAGUAUAAAGAGACACUUAUUUACACAAAAUAUAAUAGAUUUACUUAAAUCCACAUAGUCUGCCUAGGUGCCUGCCUAGGCCCCAGCCCGCCGUCCGACCAGCGCCUAACAUCUUUUAGAACCUUGCGUAAAAUAGUUUUAUAUGUAUAUAAAAAGAUAAGAGUCAAUUAUACUCUUCUUGGAAAACCAUGAAAAUGUGAGAAGGAUUCCAAUCACUUGGAAAGGAAUUUUCGGAAAUUUUGGAUAAUGUCACACUAUUUAAGGUGGUGUAGACGCAAUUUAACUCUUCCAACCUAGUGGGAGAUGUUUCUUGAAAGUUUGUUGCCAACACCCUAAAGUAAUUGAAUAAGCAAAGAAACGACUUCAAUUUUCAAUUAGCUUGCACCAGUUCUCCAUAUGAUGAGACGGUAGUCUAGGAUAUAGACUUAAGGGUUGACUAAUUUCUUGUGACAUUUAAAUUGCAAUAGAAUUGACUGUAAACUUGUUCUUCACAUUGGAAACAUCUUCCAAUCUUUAAACGAAGGUGGGAAAAAUGAAAUGUCCUUACCUGGUGUUGCUAAAAGGUUGUAAGUUUUAGUGGGAGUACAACUAACGGAAGUGUACCACUAGACUUUAAAGGUUUUCCAAGAAAUAGGUUGUUGGGCCUAGUGGGAGUACUAAUAAGAGCAAUUCCACCCAUGGAGCCCUUCCCCCUGGCAAUUCACUAUUCAAUCCACCCUAUUAAACAGUAACUGCCAUAAAUGAAUAGUAACUACCAUUAAUAAACAGUAAUUGCCAUUUACAUCUCCACCCUUGGAAUCCUCCCCCUGGCAAUAAGCAAUUAAAAUAAUAAUUGUUUUGUUUGUUUAAAUAAUAA